AGAUUGAACGCUGGCGGCAUGCCUUACACAUGCAAGUCGAACGGCAGCACGGGAGCAAUCCUGGUGGCGAGUGGCGAACGGGUGAGUAAUACAUCGGAACGUGCCCAGUUGUGGGGGGAUAGCCCGGCGAAAGCCGGAUUAAUACCGCAUACGACCUACGGGUGAAAGCGGGGGAUCGCAAGACCUCGCGCUAUUGGAGCGGCCGAUGUCGGAUUAGCUUGUUGGUAGGGUAAAAGCCUACCAAGGCUACGAUCCGUAGCUGGUCUGAGAGGACGACCAGCCACACUGGGACUGAGACACGGCCCAGACUCCUACGGGAGGCAGCAGUGGGAAUUUGGACAAUGGGCGAAAGCCUGAUCCAGCCAUGCCGCGUGCGGGAAGAAGGCCUUCGGGUUGUAAACCGCUUUUGUCGAGGAAGAAACGGUUCGAGCUAAAUAUCUCGGCUAAUGACGUACCUGAAGAAUAAGACGACCGACUAAACUACGUAGACCAGCAGCCGACGGUAAUCGU
rnacentral:rRNA from 1 species